rnacentral:RNase_P_RNA from 1 species
GAAGUUGGCCGGAUAGUCGCCGAGUGCAAUUGCGCUAGGAGGAAAGUCCGGGCUCCAUAGAGCAAAGUGCUAGUUAACGGCUAGGCGCAGUGAUGCGACGGAAAGUGCAGCAGAAAAUAAACCGCCUACUUCGGUAGGUAAGGGUGAAAUGGUGCGGUAAGAGCGCACCGCAAACUUAGUGAUAAGUUUGGCAGGGUAAACCCCACUUGGAGCAAGCUCAAAUAGGGAGGCAUUGGCGCUGCUCGCGUUGUCUUCGGGUAGAGUGCU